GUGUGCGCAUGCGCACGGGUGAAGGCCUGUUCAGCCCCCACCCUCUGCCGCGGGUGUUUGAGGCGACGCGAGCCCGGCCUGGGUUUCUCAUCCUUUCUGUGAGUCAAUACUUGUAAUCAUCAGGAACUGCAGUAUAAUCAGUUAUUAAUAAAGAAGAACUGUUAACUAAGAAAAAUGUCAAAUUUAAAAAUGAAAGAGGCAGCUCUUGUUUAUCUUGACAGAAGUAGAGGUCUCCAGAAGUUUAUAGAUGAUUGUAAAUUCUACAAUGAUUCAAAGCAAAGUUAUGCUGUAUAUCGAUUCAAUAUUUUAAUAAAUCCCUCUGAUGUUCUUGAAUUAGAUGCUGAACUUGGAAAUCAUGUUUUACAUCAUCCUUUAAAAGCUGCUCAAGUUUUUCAAUCAGUCUGUUUUAUUGCUGUUAAAACUCUCUCACUAAUUGGACAAUUACAAACUGAAACUCAAAUUAAUAUAGUGCUGAAAUUAACACAUUUACCUCCUCUGCCAAGUUAUGCUCUUGAUCUCUGUGAGUUUCCACUUGAUUAUACAUCUCAGAGAUUUUAUAUGAUGCAAGGAAUUGUGAUUGCAAUGACAACUGUAACCAAGUAUACACAAGGUGCAAGAUUUCUUUGUUCAGAUGAAGCAUGCCCCUGUUCAAAAGGAUUUCAGUAUAUAAGGGUGCACGUUCCUGGUGCUACAGAAUCUGCAACAGUAAGAAAUGACUUUUUGUGUAAUCUAUGUUCAUCUUCACUUCAAGAAGACAGAAAAUUUAGAGUACUUGGUGAUAAACAGAUAAUUGAAAUAAUUACCACAAAAGCACUUCAUGCUUUUCAAGGAUAUUCUAAAAACCUGCCUUUUAGGUUUCAAUCUUUUACAAUCUUCCUAAGAGAUGAAUUAGUAAAUAAAAUGAAUAUAGGAAAUGAAUAUAAAAUUAUUGGAAUUCCAACCUGUGUCAAAAGCUCACAAACUGCUGUCUGUAUAGAAGCAAACAGCAUCAUUAUUUGCAAUCCAAAAGUUUCUUCUGGAAUUAGUGACAACUUCAAUUGUCUCUUCUCCUUGACCUCUGUUUCAUGCUGGAAGUUUACAGCAAUACUUGCCAAUAUCUUCGCAUCACAAAUUGUUCCUCCUGGGACUUACAAUUUGCUUAAACUGUGUUUAUUGAUGAGUCUAGUACAGACAAGUGAUUGUAAAAAGGAACUAGAAAAUUGCCUGGAUAUUUUAAUUAUAACAAGUGAUACUCUACUUGUAGACAGACUUUUGAAUUUUAGCAUAAACCUUGUUCCUCAUGGUAUACAUCAUCCAGUCUCUACUGAAAUUUUUCCUACUCUGUCCACAAAUAAAUACGGAACUGGAGCAGUUAGCAUUCAAGCUGGCAGUGCUUUGCUAGCUAAAGGUGGUAUCUGCUUUAUAGGAGACUUGUGCUCACACAAAAAGGAUAAACUUGAACAACUUCAAUCAGUUCUGGAGAGCAGAAGCAUUACAGUAUACAUUCCAGGAAAGAAGUCUGGGGAUGAUAUAGAUCAACAAAUGAGUUUUCCGGUUCAGUGCAGCUUUUGGUCUUUCAUUGAUAUGAAUUCAUCUUCAAGGAGAAAUGCACAGAAGACCAACACUCUAAUUGGUCAGAUGGAUUGCAGUUUGAUUCCAGCUAACUUCGUGGAAGCAUUUGGAUUACUGAUUAACUGCAAUGAAUCUUCUCCUUGCCACCCACUUCUUCCAACUGUGCAACACACCUUAAAGAAAGCCACUGAUCCUGAAGGGCCACUUAAUUUAGCUUCUAAACAGUUCCCUACAGAGGAUUUUGAAAAGGAUAGUAAAAGAAAUCUGGAAGUAAAGUCAUGAGGAAAUAGACUGUCAAAUAAUUGAAGGUAUUCAAAAAAGAAAUAAGCUUCUGGAGGAGGUAAGUCUUUCUCCCAUUGGAAGAUAUGUUAAUCAUACAAAUACAUUGUAUAGAACAUUGCUGCACUAUGAAGGAGAUUGUUCUAGGUAAACUUUAAUAUUCUUUGCAAGUAGAAGACUAUGAUUUAAAGUGCUCACUGAUUGCAAAAUGUCUCCAUAUAUUUACUCAAUUUUUAACGUAUGAAACUUUAAAAAUAAGGCUCUAGUAUAUUUUGUAUAACUAUACUCAUUUGUCAUAUAGAUUCUAUUAUAAAAUUUAAAUCUCUUAAAGUUUUCACUUUUAAUCUAGCUACUGGCUUUUGCAAAGAAUCUGAAUGUAGAAUUCAGCUUGGAGGCAGAAAGAAUGAUUCAUGGUUAUUAUCUAGCAAGUCGCAGAAUCAGAACAGAUUCUAUAUAUGGAUCAAAACUGUCAGCAUCUACAUUAAAAUAUUUAGUUUCUUUAUCUGAAGCCCAUACACGAUUAAACCUAAGGAAUAAAGUGCUCAUAGAAGAUGUA